AGAAAGGUUCCUGGCUAAAGCAUAGUGUUUCUAGUCCAAGCUGGGAGGAAAAAGGAGGAGGGAAAAGAAGAUCAAGGAGGAACAUUUCUUCUCUUCCUCCCGCAGCGCAGUGGUUCAGAGAUUCAGUCCUCAAGUGGAAGAAGUCCUAGAGGGCAGCUCUAAUGUGUUGUGGUGGUGCCAUCAGCCAGGCUGGAGGAAUGUCCCGACCCCAGCGAGCCCGAGGAUCCCUGGACUUGCACAUGCACCCAGAUGAGUAUCAGCCUAGAAGUACAGUUUGUCUUCUCAGCGACUAAAGACAUUCAAUAAUAUGGGGGUUUUUUCAAUACAAAGGAAAAAAAAUAUCUUGGACUAUGUAUUUGUGUGUCAUCUUAGAGACAGGAUCUUCUAGAGAAGGGCAAGGCAUGGGACUGUUCACCAGAUCACUGGUGCCCUUUAUCAUGUUUCUUUACUUACGAUCAUUUUAGAAAUUAAUGUAUCUGAUAUUUCAUUUGUUUGUUUAAUGUAUCUGAAGCUCAUUAACAAUUGUGAUUAUCUUGUCUGCAAUUUUUAUUUCAUGAAAAUAAAAAUCCACGCCAAUGUCCUGUUUCACCAUGACUGAAUGGAGAUAUACCUUCUUGACCUGGAUGGCAGUAUAGCCCAGGUUCCUUUGUGUCAGUCAUAUCCAAAAAGGAAAAUAAAAGAAAGAUGGCUUUUCUCAUCUUUCUGCAAAGUACAUUUCCAGAGACUUUUGGAGAACUCUGUGCUUCAUGGGAAUGCACCAUCGAUUGGGAAGAUGCUUUGGAAAUGUAGAGUGCAAACAACCCCAGUGAUUUUGCUAGAGAAAAAGGAGGGAAAUUCAUCAUACUCGGCUGUACUGAACAUGAGAUUUCCUCUUUGGAAAGCUGUUUGUCUGCAUCAAGAAUAGCUGUGAUGUACCUUAGAUUCCUGCAGUUAGAAUUGUUGAAAAGAUUUGAUUAGACUUAUCUGUAACAGUUUUACAAAUGGUGACCAAAUGUAAUGUUUCCAUUCACAUAUUAGCAGUAUGACUGAGGAUAUAUCAUUAGGUAAUGUGGACUUAAGGAAUCUAUGAACAGAAUGAUAGAGAUUCUUGAAGUAAAGUAAUAAUUUACUUUUUCAGACUACGUGGUUACAAUUUUCUAACCCUUCCAGUAUUGAACAAUCAAAAAUUUUAUCUACAGGAUACCCUGACCUUUCAAGUCAUAAUCCCAUUUAAGGCCAGACAACAGGAAUAAAUUAAAUCAAUGC